rnacentral:rRNA from 1 species
UCAAUAAGCGGAGGAAAAGAAACUAACAAGGAUUCCCCUAGUAGCGGCGAGCGAAGCGGGAAGAGCUCAAAUUUAUAAUCUGGCACCUUCGGUGUCCGAGUUGUAAUCUCUAGAAGUGUUUUCCGCGUUGGACCGCACACAAGUCUGUUGGAAUACAGCGGCACAGUGGUGAUACCCCCGUACACGGUGCGGACGCCCAGCGCUUUGUGAUACACUUUCAAAGAGUCGAGUUGUUUGGGAAUGCAGCUCAAAUUGGGUGGUAAAUUCCAUCUAAAGCUAAAUAUUGGCGAGAGACCGAUAGCGAACAAGUACCGUGAGGGAAAGAUGAAAAGCACUUUGGAAAGAGAGUUAACAGUACGUGAAAUUGUUGGAAGGGAAACGCUUGAAGUCAGACUUGCUUGCCGGAGCUUGCUUCGGUUUGCAGGCCAGCAUCAGUUUUUCGGGGUGGAUAAUGGCGGUUUGAAGGUAGCAGUCUCGUGCUGUGUUAUAGCUUUCCGCUGGAUACACCCUGGGGGACUGAGGAACGCAGCGUGCUUUUAGCGAAGGUUUCGACCUUUUCACGCUUAGGAUGCUGGUGGAAUGGCUUUAAACGACCCGUCUUGAAACACGGACCAAGGAGUCUAACAUGCUCGCGAGUAUUUGGGUGUCAAACCCGGAUGCGCAAUGAAAGUGAAUGUAGGUGGGAACCGCAAGGUGCACCAUCGACCGAUCU